GCUGGGCGUGGUGGCCCACUCCUGUAAUCCCAGUGGCUUGGGAGGCUGAGGCAGGAGGAUCACGAGUUCAAAGCCAGCCUCAGCAAAAGCAAGGUGCUAAGCAACUCAGUGAGACCCUGUCUCUA
rnacentral:sRNA from 1 species